rnacentral:rRNA from 1 species
AGCAGCCGCGGUAAUUCCAGCUCCAAUAGCGUAUAUUAAAGUUGUUGCAGUUAAAAAGCUCGUAGUUGAAUUUCGGGAUCAGUACGCUGGUCGUGCCUUUGGUAUGUACUGGUGUCACUGAUUCCUCCCUUCUGAAGAACCGUUAUGCCAUUUAUUUGGUGUGGCGGGGAAUCAGGACUGUUACUUUGAAAAAUUAGAGUGUUUAAAAGCAGGCUCGCGCUUGAAUACAUUAGCAUGGAAUAAUGAAAUAGGACGUUUGAUCUUAAUUUUGUUGGUUUCUAGGAUCGACGUAAUGAUUAAUAGGGAUAGUUGGGGGCAUUAGUAUUCAAUUGUCAGAGGUGAAAUUCUUGGAUUUAUUGAAGACUAACUACU